CCCUUAGAUGUUCUGGGCCGCACGCGUGCUGCACUGAGUGGAUCAGCGGGUCAGGUUGCGCGAAAGUGUUUCCUAAUCUUGAAAUCCGCUCGUGAUGGGGAUUGACGGUUGCAAUUUUCCGUCAUGAACGAGGAAUACCUUGUAAGCGCGGGUCAUCAUCCCGCGCUGAAUACGUCCCUGCCCUUUGUACACACCGCCCGUCGCUCCUACCGAUUGAGUGGUCCGGUGAGGCUUUGGGAUCUGAGCAAAGAGAGCGUUUCGCUCGUUUUGCCCGGAAAACUCAGUCGAACCUUAUCAUUUAGAGGAAGGAGAAGUCGUAACA
rnacentral:rRNA from 1 species